CUUGAAAGACUUGGCAGUCUCGCUGUCCGAUUCUUGUACUUUGAGAUGCGAGGACACAAGUUGCCAAAGUAAUGGCUUCAACAACGAUAUUUGAGCAUGUUGUGCGUAGAGAUCCAUACGCCAGGAUAAUCCAGCAACAUAGCAUUUUCUUUCAACUGUAAUAAGAAGGAUAAAUUAUCAAGCACAAAAUAUAAUUUUUGUUACGCAUAUUAAGUUAUGCAUGUACGGACUAAAAAGUAAUUUAUUAAUAUUAA